CCCUUAGAUGUUCUGGGCCGCACGCGCGCUACACUGACACGUUCAUCAAGUCUAUAACCUUGACCGAGAGGUCUGGGUAAUCUUUUAAAAACGUGUCGUGCUGGGGAUAGAUUAUUGCAAUUAUUAAUCUUCAACGAGGAAUUCCUAGUAAACGCAAGUCAUCAACUUGCAUUGAUUACGUCCCUGCCCUUUGUACACACCGCCCGUCGCUACUACCGAUUGAAUGAUUUAGUGAGUACCAGGGACCGAGCGCUUUGGUUGGGUUUCCUUCCCUAGCGCUUGGGAACUGUCGCAAACUUGACCAUUUAGAGGAAGUAAAAGUCGCAACA
rnacentral:rRNA from 1 species